rnacentral:misc_RNA from 1 species
AAAGCGCGUUAGCUACUGCGAACUGCAGGAUUACUUGAGCAGCAAGAGCUUGAACGCAAAUUGCGGCUUCGGGUACUCCCGGAGUCACGUUCGCCUGAGGGUCGAAUUAUCUAACUACAACCAUGCAUUGGUGGUUAUUGAAAUGGCUUUGCCAACAGCAAUGUUUGCGAGCUUAAGAUGAUUUAACAUUGAUCAAACAUGACACCGAAUGUGUUGCUUUGAUUUCAAUUGUUUCAAACUAUCUAUUUCCAUCAUCGACCUCAGACGAGCGAGAUUGCCCGCUGAAUUUAA